rnacentral:rRNA from 1 species
ACGGCUCAGUAACACGUGGCUAACCCACCCUUGAGACGGAGAAAACCCCGGGAAACUGGGGUUAAUCUCCGAUAAGAGAAGACACCUGGAAUGGGUCUCCUCUCAAAGGGCGCCUAGACCAUGCUUCUAGGCGUUGCUCAAGGACGGGGCCGCGGCCGAUCAGGUCGUUGGUGAGGCAACGGCUCACCAAGCCUAUAACCGGUACGGGCCGUGAGAGCGGGAGCCCGGAGAUGGGCACUGAGACAAGGGCCCAGGCCCUACGGGGCGCAGCAGUUGCGAAAACUCCGCAAUGCACGAAAGUGUGACGGGGCUACCCCGAGUGCCGUCCGCUGAGGGCGGCUUUUCCCCGGUGUAAGGAGCCGGGGGAAUAAGGAGAGGGCAAGUCUGGUGUCAGCCGCCGCGGUAAUACCAGCUCUCCGAGUGGUAGGGAUGAUUAUUGGGCUUAAAGCGUCCGUAGCCGGCCCGGCAAGUCUUCCGUUAAAUCCAACGAUUCAAUCGUUGGACUGCAGGAGAUACUGUUGGGCUAGGAGGCGGGAGAGGCCGACGGUAUUCUCGGGGUAGGGGUAAAAUCCUAUAAUCCCGGGAGGACCACCAGUGGCGAAGGCGGUCGGCUAGAACGCGCUCGACGGUGAGGGACGAAAGCUGGGGGAGCGAACCGGAUUAGAUACCCGGGUAGUCCCAGCUGUAAACGAUGCGGGCUAGGUGUUGGGGCGGCUACGGGCCGCUUCAGUGCCGCAGGGAAACCAUUAAGCCCGCCGCCUGGGGAGUACGGCCGCAAGGCUGAAACUUAAAGGAAUUGGCGGGGGAG